AACGAACGCUGGCGGCAUGCCUAACACAUGCAAGUCGAACGAGACCUUCGGGUCUAGUGGCGCACGGGUGCGUAACGCGUGGGAACCUGCCCUUAGGUUCGGAAUAACUCCCCGAAAGGGGUGCUAAUACCGGAUAAUGUCUUCGGACCAAAGAUUUAUCGCCUUUGGAUGGGCCCGCGUUGGAUUAGCUAGUUGGUAGGGUAAAAGCCUACCAAGGCGACGAUCCAUAGCUGGUCUGAGAGGAUGAUCAGCCACACUGGGACUGGGACACGGCCCAGACUCCUACGGGAGGCAGCAGCGGGGAAUAUUGGACAAUGGGCGAAAGCCUGAUCCAGCAAUGCCGCGUGAGUGAUGAAGGCCUUAGGGUUGUAAAGCUCUUUUACCCGGGAUGAUAAUGACAGUACCGGGAGAAUAAGCUCCGGCUAACUCCGUG
rnacentral:rRNA from 1 species